rnacentral:rRNA from 1 species
UACUCCUACGGGAGGCAGCAGUGGGGAAUCUUCCGCAAUGGACGAAAGUCUGACGGAGCAACGCCGCGUGAGUGAUGACGGCCUUCGGGUUGUAAAGCUCUGUUAAUCGGGACGAAAGGUCUUCUUGCGAAUAGUUAGAAGAAUUGACGGUACCGGAAUAGAAAGCCACGGCUAACUACGUGCCAGCAGCCGCGGUAAUACGUAGGUGGCAAGCGUUGUCCGGAAUUAUUGGGCGUAAAGCGCGCGCAGGCGGAUUGGUCAGUCUGUCUUAAAAGUUCGGGGCUUAACCCCGUGAUGGGAUGGAAACUGCCAAUCUAGAGUAUCGGAGAGGAAAGUGGAAUUCCUAGUGUAGCGGUGAAAUGCGUAGAUAUUAGGAAGAACACCAGUGGCGAAGGCGACUUUCUGGACGAAAACUGACGCUGAGGCGCGAAAGCCAGGGGAGCGAACGGGAUUAGAUACCCCGGUAGUCCUGGCCGUAAACGAUGGGUACUAGGUGUAGGAGGUAUCGACCCCUUCUGUGCCGGAGUUAACGCAAUAAGUACCCCGCCUGGGGAGUACGACCGCAAGGUUGAAACUCAAAGGAAUUGACGGA